UGUACACACCGCCCGUCACACCAUGGAAGUUGGUCACGCCCGAAGUCGUUACCCCAACCGCAAGGGGGGGGAUGCCUAAGGUAGGACUGAUGACUGGGGUGAAGUCGUAACAAGGUAGCCGUACCGGAAGGUGUGGCUGGAUCACCUCCUUUUAGGGAGACCUAAUCCAUUUAGAAAUCGAAAGCAGUGAAAAUUGUGGGUAGAAACUAAAUUGGUCUAACCUAGGUCGGUCGCAGACUUGAAGUAAAGCUUUCAAACUAUGAUUUGGUUCGAUAAGGGCUAUUAGCUCAGGUGGUUAGAGCGCACCCCUGAUAAGGGUGAGGUCCCUGGUUCGAGUCCAGGAUGGCCCACCUGAAGCAAGUCAAAAGUAAAAAGUCAAAGGUCAAAGGUAUAUUCCUUUUGAAUUUUGCCUUUUGAAUUUUGAAUUGUUUUUGGGGGUUUAGCUCAGUUGGUAGAGCGCCUGCUUUGCAAGCAGGAUGUCAGCGGUUCGAGUCCGCUAACCUCCACAUUGGAAAAAAGACAGCACCUAACAAUAAAAGUUAGACUGCUGGGUGAAAUUCCAGCCAGAACCUUGAAAACUGCAUAAGAGAACGAGAAAAAGCAGGCAGACACAGACAUUUAAAUGGAUGUGAAAGCAAAGAAAAAUUGUGGUCAAGCUAAUAAGGGCUAAUGGUGGAUACCUAGGCACACAGAGA
rnacentral:misc_RNA from 1 species